UACGUAUGGUGCAAGCGUUAUCCGGAUUUACUGGGUGUAAAGGGAGCGCAGGCGGCGCGCCAAGUCCGGUGUGAAAGCCCGGGGCUCAACCCCGGGACUGCACUGGAAACUGGCGAGCUAGAGUGCCGGAGGGGUAGGCGGAAUUCCUGGUGUAGCGGUGAAAUGCGUAGAUAUCAGGAGGAACACCGGUGGCGAAGGCGGCCUACUGGACGGCAACUGACGCUGAGGCUCGAAAGCGUGGGGAGCAAACAGG
rnacentral:rRNA from 1 species